UGCACAGCAAGCCCCCUUGGUCCUUCUCCUGACCUUGCCAGUUAUGAUGAUUGCAGCCUCCUGGCUUCCGGCAGUUAAUUCCUGCCACCUGGCCUCUAUUACUUCAAAGUCCCAUGAUCCCCAUGGACAUUAAUGAGCCCAGCUCCGUGACCACGGCUCCUACUCUCAGCCCUAGCUUGCAGGUGAGAGCCGCCACUGAACUUCUAAGUGAUGCUGGUGCCCUUAUCACCCAAACAUUCCUUACGGCUUUGCAAUGCAUGUACAAAGUCGGGCUGAUUGAUUCCCAGUCUCACCUGUAUACUGCCAGAACCAGUUUCCACAUUACCGAGAAGAGAUUCCGUCAUCGCGCACUCCCCACUCAAGACUGGGAACAGAAAUGGCAUCUAGCAAUGUGCCAUGACAAAUUCUCAGUCAUUUUGGACCAUCUCUUCAGUUCUGGCCUGGACUUUGGAGUGUAUCAUAUAGAUGAAAGAGCUGAAGCAAAGAAGUAUUAAAUAAUCAGCCAGAGGUCCUCUAACUAGGAAAUGACAGAAGUAGAUUUGAAUGCUGGCAACAAUGGCUCCAGAGUCUGUGCACUUAACUCUUAGGUCAGACUGAUCUUCCAACAGGAAACAUCGAAGAGAUCGUGCCAAAUAGAAUUCACCAAGUACUGAAUGCUCCAUUAGUCCUACAAUCUACUGACUGUCAGAAAUAAAUAGGCAGGCAUUGUUACCA
rnacentral:lncRNA from 13 species